rnacentral:misc_RNA from 1 species
UUGAUUCAUUUAUAGUUGUUUACUCAGAAGAUACAAGAAAAACAAAGAGUUUAUAGGGCCACCGGCCGACCUGCUCCGCUCCUUACGAAACGGGACUUCGAAGGAAGCCAGUCUGCGCCGAGGCAACAAUAGAGAAGAAUUCACAAAGGGUUUCUGGGUAGCACCCGUGAGGGCGUUUGUUCCAGCAAUGAUCCCUCCGCUGGUUCACCAACGGAGA